rnacentral:rRNA from 1 species
CAGGUUGAUAUUCCUGUACCACCUAUAAUCGUUUUAAUCGAUGGGGGGACGCAGUAGGAUAGGCGAAGCGUGCGAUUGGAUUGCACGUCUAAGCAGUAAGGCUGAGUAUUAGGCAAAUCCGGUACUCGUUAAGGCUGAGCUGUGAUGGGGAGAAGACAUUGUGUCUUCGAGUCGUUGAUUUCACACUGCCGAGAAAAGCCUCUAGAUAGAAAAUAGGUGCCCGUACCGCAAACCGACACAGGUAGUCAAGAUGAGAAUUCUAAGGUGAGCGAGCGAACUCUCGUUAAGGAACUCGGCAAAAUGACCCCGUAACUUCGGGAGAAGGGGUGCUCUUUAGGGUUAACGCCCAGAAGAGCCGCAGUGAAUAGGCCCAAGCGACUGUUUAUCAAAAACACAGGUCUCUGCUAAACCGUAAGGUGAUGUAUAGGGGCUGACGCCUGCCCGGUGCUGGAAGGUUAAGAGGAGUGGUUAGCUUCUGCGAAGCUACGAAUCGAAGCCCCAGUAAACGGCGGCCGUAACUAUAACGGUCCUAAGGUAGCGAAAUUCCUUGUCGGGUAAGUUCCGACCCGCACGAAAGGCGUAACGAUUUGGGCACUGUCUCAACGAGAGACUCGGUGAAAUCAUAGUACCUGUGAAGAUGCAGGUUACCCGCGACAGGACGGAAAGACCCCGUGGAGCUUUACUGUAGCCUGAUAUUGAAAUUCGGCACAGCUUGUACAGGAUAGGUAGGAGCCUUUGAAACGUGAGCGCUAGCUUACGUGGAGGCGCUGGUGGGAUACUACCCUAGCUGUGUUGGCUUUCUAACCCGCACCACUUAUCGUGGUGGGAGACAGUGUCAGGCGGGCAGUUUGACUGGGGCGGUCGCCUCCUAAAAGGUAACGGAGGCGCUCAAAGGUUCCCUCAGAAUGGUUGGAAAUCAUUCAUAGAGUGUAAAGGCAUAAGGGAGCUUGACUGCGAGACCUACAAGUCGAGCAGGGUCGAAAGACGGACUUAGUGAUCCGGUGGUU